rnacentral:rRNA from 1 species
AGUGAACGCUGGCGGCGUGCCUAAUACAUGCAAGUCGAACGGACAAGUAAGAGCUUGCUCUUAUGAGUUAGUGGCGCACGGGUGAGUAAUGUAUAGCUAAUCUGCCCUACACUAGAGGACAACAGUUGGAAACGACUGCUAAUACUCUAUACUCCUCUCUAGCAUAAGUUAGAUAGGGAAAGUUUUUCGGUGUAGGAUGAGGCUAUAUUGUAUCAGCUAGUUGGUGAGGUAAUGGCUCACCAAGGCUAUGACGCAUAACUGGUCUGAGAGGAUGAUCAGUCACACUGGAACUGAGACACGGUCCAGACUCCUACGGGAGGCAGCAGUAGGGAAUAUUGCUCAAUGGGGGAAACCCUGAAGCAGCAACGCCGCGUGGAGGAUGACACUUUUCGGAGCGUAAACUCCUUUUGUUAGGGAAGAACAAUGACGGUACCUAACGAAUAAGCACCGGCUAACUCCGUGCCAGCAGCCGCGGUAAUACGGAGGGUGCAAGCGUUACUCGGAAUCACUGGGCGUAAAGGACGCGUAGGCGGAUUAUCAAGUCUCUUGUGAAAUCCUAUGGCUUAACCAUAGAACUGCUUGGGAAACUGAUAAUCUAGAGUGAGGGAGAGGCAGAUGGAAUUGGUGGUGUAGGGGUAAAAUCCGUAGAGAUCACCAGGAAUACCCAUUGCGAAGGCGAUCUGCUGGAACUCAACUGACGCUAAUGCGUGAAAGCGUGGGGAGCAAACAGG